rnacentral:rRNA from 1 species
AUUGAACGCUGGCGGCAUGCUUUACACAUGCAAGUCGAACGGCAGCGCGGGCUUCGGCCUGGCGGCGAGUGGCGAACGGGUGAGUAAUGCAUCGGAACGUGCCCAGUAGUGGGGGAUAGCCCGGCGAAAGCCGGAUUAAUACCGCAUACGACCUGAGGGUGAAAGCGGGGGACCGAAAGGCCUCGCGCUAUUGGAGCGGCCGAUGUCGGAUUAGCUAGUUGGUGGGGUAAAGGCUUACCAAGGCGGCGAUCCGUAGCUGGUCUGAGAGGACGACCAGCCACACUGGGACUGAGACACGGCCCAGACUCCUACGGGAGGCAGCAGUGGGGAAUUUUGGAAAAUGGGGGCAACCCUGAUCCAGCCAUGCCGCGUGCGGGAAGAAGGCCUUCGGGUUGUAAAACGCUUUUGUUCGGGAAGAAAGCCUCUGGGCUAAUACCCCGGGGGGAUGACGGUACCGGAAGAAUAAGCACCGGCUAACUACGUG